AUACGUAGGGUGCGAGCGUUGUCCGGAAUUACUGGGCGUAAAGAGCUCGUAGGUGGUUUGUCGCGUCGUCUGUGAAAUUCCGGGGCUUAACUCCGGGCGUGCAGGCGAUACGGGCAUAACUUGAGUACUGUAGGGGAGACUGGAAUUCCUGGUGUAGCGGUGAAAUGCGCAGAUAUCAGGAGGAACACCGGUGGCGAAGGCGGGUCGCUGGGCAGUAACUGACGCUGAGGAGCGAGAGCAUGGGUAGCGAACAGGAUUAGAUACCCUGGUAGUCCAUGCCGUAAACGGUGGGCGCUAGGUGUAGGGGUCUUCCACGACUUCUGUGCCGUAGCUAACGCAUUAAGCGCCCCGCCUGGGGAGUACGGCCGCAAGGCUAAAACUCAAAGGAAUUGACGGGG
rnacentral:rRNA from 1 species